ACCUCAAAUCAGGCGGGACUACCCGCUGAACUUAAGCAUAUCAAUAAGCGGAGGAAAAGAAACUAACAAGGAUUCCCCUAGUAACUGCGAGUGAAGCGGGAAAAGCUCAAAUUUAAAAUCUGGCAGUCUUUGGCUGUCCGAGUUGUAGUCUGGAGAAGCGUUUUCCGCGCUGGA
rnacentral:rRNA from 1 species